GUGGUAAGGGUCAUGCAGUUCAGAGGAGAAAGCAAGUGUGGCUGAUGAACAUCACGGAGCAGUGACCUUCAUGGACAGACAGAAUUUGAGCUGGCCCUUUAACCAAUGAGGAGGAUUCAAACAGAGUUUGUAUUAUCCUGAAAAGAAAUUCCACUAAAGAUGAAUAGCAGAGAACUGUGUUCAGACUGAAGAAGCAGCACCAGCUUUGAUUUUAAAAUUCAGGCUCCUCAUGCCUGUAAUCCCAGCACUUUGGGAGGCCAAGGUGGGCGGAUCACCUGAGGUCAGGAGUUCAAGACCAGCCUGGCCAACAUGGUGAAACACAGUCUCUACUGAAAAUACAAAAAUUAGCCAGGCAUGGUGGCGUGUGCCUGUAAUCCCAGCUAGUUGGGAGGCUGAGACAGGAGAAUCAUUCAAACCCAGGAGGGGGAGGUUGCAGUGAGCCCAGAUCGCACCACUGCACUCCGGCCUGGGCAACAAGAGCAAAACCCCAUCUCAAAAUAAAUAAAUAAAUAAAGAUAAAAUUCAAGUUC